AAGAUACUCCCUCCGUCCGGAAAUACUUGUCAUCAAAAUGGAUAAAAGGGGAUGUAUCUAGACGUAUUUUAGUUCUAGAUACAUCUCUUUUUAUCCAUUUUAAUGACAAGUAUUUUCGGACGGAGGGAGUAGAAG
rnacentral:pre_miRNA from 1 species